rnacentral:rRNA from 1 species
GACGAACGCUGGCGGCGCGCCUAACACAUGCAAGUCGAACGAGAGAGAGGGAGCUUGCUUCCUCAAUCGAGUGGCGAACGGGUGAGUAACGCGUGAGGAACCUGCCUCAAAGAGGGGGACAACAGUUGGAAACGACUGCUAAUACUACAUAAGCCCACGACCCGGCAUCGGGUUGAGGGAAAAGGAGCAAUCCGCUUUGAGAUGGCCUCGCGUCCGAUUAGCUAGUUGGUGAGGUAAUGGCCCACCAAGGCAACGAUCGGUAGCCGGACUGAGAGGUUGAACGGCCACAUUGGGACUGAGACACGGCCCAGACUCCUACGGGAGGCAGCAGUGGGGAAUAUUGCACAAUGGGGGAAACCCUGAUGCAGCGACGCCGCGUGGAGGAAGAAGGUCUUCGGAUUGUAAACUCCUGUUGUUGAGGAAGAUAAUGACGGUACUCAACAAGGAAGUGACGG